AUUCCGCCCGCCCCCGCUCACUCGCGGACACCCAAGCUGCCCCCAACCCUGUUUCCUUGGACUUCUGGCAACUGAAGUGAGGGCGGAUCCAGUGCCCACUCCCUGCACCCCCCACCGCCUGCCGGUCCCACCACUGCCACCUCCGGAGUCCCGCUCUGCUACUUCUUCAGGCUCUUACCGACUGCGCCAGCCCUGGCGAAGCUCCGCGAACUGCCCUUUGCUAGAAGUAAUUUUUGGCGAUUUUUUAAUGAUUUUUCGGCGAAGUCUUAGUGGCGCUAUACUCUCGGACAGGUUAUCCCGUCUCUCCCGCUAGAUUGAUGAGAUCAGGCAUCACUCGAAAAUGGCGCCGAAAGCGCUGAGGCUCCUCAUUCAAAUUCUUUAGAGCCAACCCCGCCGCCCCGGGGCAUGCCGGGAACGCGGGCUGCCUCCACAGCUGUCAAUAUAGCCUGUCAACCCCCCGCCUCUUGCUUUCCCGACAGUUUUGCGCAUGCGCAAACUCCUGCCCCAAGCCCCAGGCCUACACAUGCGCAUAAUCAUCCUUGUUCGCCGCUCUCCCUUCGCUUCCUUGGUCGCAGCUGUCCCACCUCUUUUCUUGCGCGUGCGUGCAGCGCUUUCUAUAUUCAGCAGCGGAGGUGAAGCGACCGUGAGGACUGUCAGCCCAAAGGUCCAUAGGUCCGUAUCUAAAUAGACACUUAUUCCACUGUUCGAGGUAAACAAACAAGAAAGGGUACAGCUAAGGCGAAAACAAAAGCGACUUUCAGCCAGUGCCUAGACUCCAAGCAGCGAAUUUGUUUCUGAGACCUUGUGUAUGGAUACACGUGUACUUAAAACAGCCCCGCCAAAGUACUGAGCGCUCGCUGUAGUCCAACGUUUUACAUGAACUAUCGCUGUUAAACCUCAGAACAACUUUAUCAGAGAAAGUGGUUGUUGUGUUCAUUAAUUAAAUGCCAGUGAUGCGUGUGAUAAAGUCAUUAUUCUGAAGGCAAUUCUGGCUGUAAUACCUGGAAUGGCUUACACUGAAGACAGAAUGAUGGCGAGAAACCAAUUAUGAAGAUUCUACAUUGUUUCAGUGGUUCAAGUGAAAAAGGGGCCUGGGAAUGGAGAGUAUAGUGUUCAUAAUGAUGACCCUAAGUCACUAAGAAAAGAUUAAAUUAUGUUGUUAAUGCUGUAAAUAUUUUCUUAAAAAUAAUUUUUUAAAGUUUUAGGUUAGGAAUAAGCAAAAACAAGACGGUGCCUUGGAGCUCAGUACUUAGCUUUUUUCAUUUGUAUAUUUUAUAGUAGUAAUUAUAUAAAGGCUUUUUGUUGUUAUUGGCUGCUGUCAAGUUGGCACCUGACUCAAUGACCCCACGCACAAUAGAGCAAAACACUGCCCAGUCCUACCCAUCUCCAUGAUUGGCUGCAGAUCGGACCAUUACGAUCCAUAGGAUUUUCACUGACUGAUUUUCAGAAAUAGAUAACUAGGCCUUUCUUCCUAGUCUGUCUUAGUUUGAAAGCUCCCCUGGAAUCUGGUCAGCAUCAGAGCAACAUAACAAGCCUCCACUGAAGGACAAGUUGUGACUGCAUAGUGCAUUGACCAGGAAUUGAACCCUGGACUCCUGCACGGAAAGCAUACAGCUGAGGACAGUAUCAUUUUAGAAUGCAAUACAGAGAAGACAUGAGGCAGACUGCUGGGAAAUGAAAAAGCCAGAAUAAAAAUAAACAAAUCAGUGCUUCCUAAAUGAAGACUUCUUUGGUAGAAGAAAGAAUAUAGAUCACAAGGUGAGUUAGCAGAGGUCCCUGAUUUGUAAUUUUUUAAGAUUUCCAUCUAGUGAUAUUCUAAGAUACUUAUCAAAUUAUGAGUUUUAUCAUUUCUUCUUAAAUCUAAAAACAAGCCAGGAGUUCAAGGAGUAGGCACAGAGUGACCCUAUUUUAUUCUGUAAGCUUCUGGUUCGAGCUGUUAGGCAGACAAAAGAGAUUCAUAUAGCUUUUAUGCUCUCUUCUUAUAAAUGACAUAUUUGGUCAUAAAUGCUAAUAUUUCAGGAAUGGGAAGGAUUUGACCUGGUCUUGUCUAAUAAGGUUUACUCAAGAAUAAUGCACUUAUGUUGUUAGCUGUAGGUUCAAGCAUUAGUUCUUGCUCCUACUCGGCAGUCUGGUAUUGGCAUAUAAAGGAGUUACAUCAAAUUUAGUUUUAGCCUGCCAAUCUAUCUGGUAUAGCAUUAUCCUUCAUAUUCAGUUUAAAAAUCAUGGGGCUCUAAAAUCAACAUAACAAAGUAUUAAUAGGCUUAUACAGGCAGAGUAAUAACUGUGUUACAAGAAACUGAGCAGAGAUUAAGUGUCUAUGGUUUGAAUUACAUAUUCUCACUAGGAAUGUGUUUUGUAAUUGUGAUUUUUCAGGUGAUUCAUUUUAAACCGUUAGAAAAUUGUGAGGGAGAAAGGGAAGGGAUAAUAUCCAAGUUAGAUGUAUAAUUCACUUGGUUACCAGGGGAUUUUAAAUUACUUUUUCUCGGUUACAUUUUCAUUUGGUAGACUUAACAGUUUUCUGUCUUCCAUUUUACUUUGUAAAAAAGCAUGGCCGUGCACAGGUGAGAAAACUGAGGCUCAAACAGGUUGUGUUUUAAUAUGUGGAGGAGUCUGAUGUGUAUCCAAGUUUAUCUGUCCCUGAUAUCUAUGUUUUUAACCACUGUUCUUAGAAUAAAAUACAUUGGUGUAUUAUAGAACAAUUCUUACCGACACUCAUCUCUGCCCACAAAAAGAAUUACUGAAACACCCACCAUCCUCAAUUUCUUUCUUUCCCUCCCUCUCACUUUUUCUUUUCAGAGUGCUCUGUAGUUUUUAAUGCCAGUAAAUAUUCUAAAAUUAUUUCUUUCAUUAGGAAGGGGAUUAAAUAUGUUGCCAAAGUCGUCUAGCCUUAUGCAGAACUACAUCCUAAACUUAUCCUGUGGUAUGUUAUUCAGCUACUGCAUUAUAGUUCCUUAAAUAAUGAGCUCUAGACUGAGCACUGCUUAACAAAUCAUAUGAGCAAGACCCAAAGAAUCAAACUUUUCCAUGUAGCUCAACUGUAUCCCAGAACAAAACUCAAUAAUAUUUAUAGGAAUAGAAAAAUAUCCAGUGCCCAACAAGAUAAAAUUCACAUUGCCUUGUAUCCAAUCAAAUCACACUUCUAGAGAUAAAAAUGACAGUGUUUGAGAUGAAAAAUUCACUGAAUGACAUUAAUGGCAGAUUACACAUUGCAGAAGAAGAUAUUUAUGAACUUGAAGAGACAGCAGUAGAAACCAUCCAAAUGAAAUGGAAAAAAAAUGAAUUAAAAAAAAACCAAACAAAACAUUGAUGAGCUGUGAGAAUAAUGUCUAGAGGCUUCAUAUAUGCAAAUGGAGCCCCCAGAGAGAGGAGAGAGGUAGGGGAACAAGAGAUAUUUGAAAAAUAAUGCCCAAAAUGUUCUAACUUUGAUGAAAACUAUUAAAGAACCCAAGAAACUUCUUGCAUCCCAAGCAUAUGCACACACACACAAAGAAGAAAACCCACACCAGCGUACAUCAGAAUCACACAGCUCAAGAUCAGCGAUGGAUGACAGAUUUCUCAUCAAAAACACUGCAAGUGCAAAGACAGUGGGACAACAUCUUUAAAGUUCUAAAAGAAAAACACCCUUAACCUAGAAUUCUAUACCCAACAAAAUAUUCAAAAAUAAAAACAAAGAUGUUUUUAGAGCUAGGAAAACUGAAGUAAUUUAUUGCUAGCAGACCUGUACAACAAGAAAUGUUAAAGUCAUUCAGGAAGAAGGAAAAUGAUACCAAAUAGAAAUACUGAUCUUCUCAAAGAAAUGAAGAGCACUGGAAAUGGUAAUUACAUGGAUAAAUAUAUAGGAUUUUUUUCUUAUUAUUUAACCUCUUUUAAAAAGAACCAACUAAACAACAGUACUUACAGCAUUGUGGGAUUUACAAUAUGCAUAAAUAAAAUAUAUGACAACGAAAUAAAAUAAAGGCUGGGGGUGAAAUAGAAUGUACUAUCGUGAGGCUCUUCUGCUAUAUGUAAAGUGGUAUAAUAUCAUUUGAAGGUAGAAUGUAAUAAGUUAGAGUUGUAAACUUUUACCCCUAUAUAAGGUCCCUGGGUGGCACAAACGGUUUGCUCUUGAGUACUAACUGAAAUGUUGAUGGUUCAGAUCCACCCACUGACACCAUGGAAGAAAGGCCUUAUGGUUUGCUUGUGUAAAAAUUAUAGCCAAGAAAACCCUAUGGUGCAAUUAUACUCUGUAAUACAUGGGGUGUCAUGAAUCAGCUUGACUCAAUAGCAUUGGGUUUGGUUUUGGUUUUUUUUUAACACCUAAAGCAACCAGUCCAGUUGGGCCAAUCAUGAUAAAUGGAGAAAAGACUGAAGUUGUCAAGGAUUUCAUUUUACUUGGAUCUAUAAUCGACGGCACUGGGGUCUGGGGUGGGAUAAUCAACACCCAUGGAAGCAGCAGUCAAGAAAUCAAAAGGUGCAUUGCAUUGGGCAAAUCUGCUGUAAAAGACCUCUUUAAAGUGUUGAAGAGCAAGGAUGUCACCUUGAGGACUAUGGAGCGCCUCACACAAGCCAUGGUGUUUUCAAUCACCUCAUAUGCAUGCAAAAACUAGACAAUGAAUAAGGAAGACCGAAGAAGAAUUGACGCUUCUGAAUUGUGUUAGCGAAGAAUACUGAAUAUACCACGGACUGCCAAAAGAAUGAACAAAUACGUCUCGGAAGAAGUACAACCAGAAUGCUUCUAAGAAACAAGGAUGGCAAGACUACGUCUCACAUACUUUGGACACGUUGGAGGGAUCAGUCCCUGGAGAAGGACAUCACACUUGAUAAACUAGAGGGUCAGCGAAAAAGAGGAAGACCCUCAAUGAGGUGGAUUGACACAGUGGUUGCAACGAUGGGUUCAGGCAUAGCAACAAUUUUGAGGAUGGUGCAGGACCUGGCAGUGUUUCGUUCUCUUACACAUAGGGUUGCUAUGGGUUGGAACAGAAACAACAAGGCAACCCGUAGAAUAACAAAAUAGUUAUAGCUAAUAAGUCAACAAAGGAGAUAAAAUGGAAUCAUAAAAUAUACUUCAUCCAGGGGAUUCUGGGAAGAUGGCAGCAUAAGUGCAUCUAAGAACCUGACCCUUGCCUCACAACCAACAAGAAAAGCAACUAGAAGUCUGUAGUCAGCCCUGUUAGAAUUCUGAAAUGGUGAGCAAAGACCUACAUCAGGGAGCUUCAUACUGAAUCAAAAGAAGAGCAAAUA